UACGAAGGGAGCUAGCGUUGUUCGGAAUCACUGGGCGUAAAGCGCACGUAGGCGGAUGUGUCAGUCAGGGGUGAAAUCCCGGAGCUCAACUUCGGAACUGCCUCUGAUACAGCACGUCUUGAGUCCGAUAGAGGUGGGUGGAAUUCCUAGUGUAGAGGUGAAAUUCGUAGAUAUUAGGAAGAACACCGGUGGCGAAGGCGGCCCACUGGAUCGGUACUGACGCUGAGGUGCGAAAGCGUGGGGAGCGAACGGG
rnacentral:rRNA from 1 species